CGGUUCUAAAAGAACUGACCGAAGACAGUAGGGGACGAAAGUCAUAAACUUCCUACCGAGGACAAAUAUCAAAAUGAUAAUUGAACUCUCUAUGUCUUUUGUGUGUAGAGAUUUUUUGUUUCUACA
rfam:Lactococcus lactis subsp. cremoris TIFN6 scaffold12.1_4, whole genome shotgun sequence.